CUGGAGGAUUGGUUCGCGCCCUAUCAGCUUGUUGGUGAGGUAACGGCUCACCAAGGCUACGACGGGUACCUGGUCUGAGAGGACGAUCAGGCACACUGGAACUGAGACACGGUCCAGACACCUACGGGUGGCAGCAGUCGAGAAUAAUUCACAAUGGGGGCAACCCUGAUGGUGCAACGCCGCGUGGAGGAUGACGGUCUUCGGAUUGUAAACUCCUGUCAUCCGGGAGAAAGACCUGGCCGUCAAUAGCGGACAGGGUUGAUAGUACCGGAAGAGGAAGGGACGGCUAACUUCGUGCCAGCAGCCGCGGCAAUACGAAGGUCCCGAGCGUUGUUCGGAAUCACUGGGCGUAAAGGGAGCGUAGGCGGCGCGGUAAGUCAGAUGUGAAAUCCCGGGGCUCAACCCCGGAACUGCAUCCGAUACUGCCGUGCUAGAGUAAUGGAGGGGUAGCUGGAAUUCUCGGUGUAGCAGUGAAAUGCGUAGAUAUCGAGAGGAACACUCGUGGCGAAAGCGAGCUACUGGACAUUUAC
rnacentral:rRNA from 1 species